rnacentral:rRNA from 1 species
UACAGAGGUCCCGAGCGUUGUUCGGAUUCACUGGGCGUAAAGGGUGCGUAGGUGGCUGGGAAAGUUUGAUGUGAAAGCUCAGGGCUUAACCCUGAAAUGGCAUUGAAUACUGCCUGGCUGGAGGUUUGGAGGGGGGACUGGAAUUCUUGGUGUAGCAGUGAAAUGCGUAGAUAUCAAGAGGAACACCGGUGGCGAAGGCGGCGACCUGGGUCGACACUGACGCUGAGGCGCGAAAGCGUGGGGAGCAAACAGG